CGGGGCGUGGCUCAGUCUGGUAGAGCACCGCGUUCGGGACGCGGGGGUCGGAGGUUCGAAUCCUCUCGCCCCGA
rnacentral:tRNA from 1 species